AAUAAAAAGUCCCCCUCACAGCCUUUAUAUUGAUUGGAGAAGUCGAGCACUAGUGGCGGCUUCAAAAGGAUAUCUUGCCAUCCCCUACUACCUGGGAAGUUUUUAUAGAUGCUUUCUUUGAGAACUUCUUCCCUGUAUAUGUUCGUGAGAAGAAAGAGGAGGAAUUUCAGGACCUCUGCCAAGGGAAUAUGAUAGAUACCCAAUAUACAGUCCAUUUAUACAAUUGUCUAAGUUUAUCCAUUUGAUGGUUACCCUAAAGAGUCGCAAGGCCAGAAAAUUUUUGAAGGGCAUUCAUGCAGAUAUCUACGAUAGG
rnacentral:lncRNA from 1 species